rnacentral:rRNA from 1 species
GAUGAACGCUAGCUACAGGCUUAACACAUGCAAGUCGAGGGACCGGCGCACGGGUGAGAAACACGUAUCCCACCUGCCCUUUACUCGGUGAUAGCCUUUCGAAAGAAAGAUUAAUACCCGAUAUAAAGGAUGGGGAUGCGUUGCAUUAGGUUGUUGGUGAGGUAACGGCUCACCAAGCCUUCGAUGGAUAGGGGAUAUGGGGGGAAGGUCCACUAGAUUGGAGCUGCGGCACGGUCCAAACUCCUAGGGAGGGCAGCAGUAGGGAAUAUUAGGCAAUGGACGCUAGCCUGAACCAGCCAAGUGGCGGGAGAGAGGAUGGGUUAUGAGUCGUAAGCUUCUUGUAUAUAAGAAUAUGUAUUAUAUGAAUAAGGAUCGGCUAACUCCGUGCCAGCAGCCGCGGUAAUAC